rnacentral:rRNA from 1 species
AUCGAACGCUGGCGGCAGGCCUAACACAUGCAAGUCGAGCGAGCGGCGGACGGGUGAGUAAUGCCUGGGAAUUGCACAGUCGAGGGGGAUAACAGAUGGAAACGACUGCUAAUACCGCAUACGAAUUGAUUGCCCAGGUUGGGUUAGCGAGUGGGUGAGGUAAUGGCUCACUGAGGCGACGAUCCCUAGCUGGUCUGAGAGGGUGAUCAGCCACACUGGAACUGAGACACGGUCCAGACUCCUACGGGAGGCAGCAGUGGGGAAUAUUGCACAAUGGGGGAAACCCUGAUGCAGCCAUGCCGCGUGUGUGAAGAAGGCCUUCGGGUUGUAAAGCACUUUCAGCGAGGAAGCGUUACUCGCAGAGGAAGCACCGGCUAACUCCGUGCCAGCAGCCGCGGUAAUUC